UACGUAGGAUCCAAGCGUUGUCCGGAUUUACUGGGUGUAAAGGGUGCGCAGGCGGACUUGUUAGUCAGAGGUGAAAUCUCACUGCUCAACAGUGAAACUGCCUUUGAUACUGCAGGUCUUGAAUCCAGAAGAGAGUUGUGGAAUUCCGAGUGUAGCAGUGAAAUGUGUAGAUAUUCGGAAGAACACCAGCGGCGAAGGCAGCCCCCUGGGUCAAGAUUGACGCUCAUGCACGAAAGCGUGGGGAGCAAACAGG
rnacentral:rRNA from 1 species